UGGGGAAUCUUGCGCAAUGGGCGAAAGCCUGACGCAGCAACGCCGCGUGGGGGAUGAAGGCUCUCGGGUUGUAAACCCCUUUCAGCAGGGACGAAAUUGACGGUACCUGCAGAAGAAGCCCCGGCCAACUACGUGCCAGCAGCCGCGGUAAUACGUAGGGGGCGAGCGUUGUCCGGAUUUAUUGGGCGUAAAGAGCUCGUAGGCGGCUUGGCAAGUCGGGUGUGAAAACUCCAGGCUCAACCUGGAGACGCCACUCGAGACUGCUAUGGCUAGAGUCCGGUAGGGGACCACGGAAUUCCUGGUGUAGCGGUGAAAUGCGCAGAUAUCAGGAGGAACACCGGUGGCGAAGGCGGUGGUCUGGGCCGGCACUGACGCUGAGGAGCGAAAGCGUGGGGAGCAAACAGGAUUAGAUACCCCCGUAGUCC
rnacentral:rRNA from 1 species